GUCGAUUACAUUAUGUUUUCCCCCACACAGACAUGUGCAUCCUUGAGAAAUAAAAGGAAAAGGAGAUAUACACAUAUAACUGCUCAUAAAAGAUAUGUUCAUUGUCAUUGUAAAAAAUGGUUAAUUUAAAUAUAUGAAUUACCUUCCCAGUUAAUUUGCCAUGUGUGAGGAACAAUUAUAUUCAUUAGUUGAUAUAUUAUUAAGAGCCUAAAUCAUGACGAUCGUACAUGUAUGUACAUAGAUAAAAAGUUAAGGUUUAGUUAGUAAGUCGCCAAAUGCCUGUUAGUGAUUACGAAAUUUCUUCUAACCUUGCUUGCAUGGCAGACCUACAUAGUUUAAUGUAUAACUCAAUUUUCUUUGAUGCAGAAGGAAACGUAAUAAACGGAUUUGCAACAUCCGACACCAAAAAAAAAUCUUUGAAGAGAUCACAAAAUGAUUACCCUAGUUAUAUCAAGUCAAUUGAAUAACAUUUGCUAAGCUUAGUAAGAUAGCAACAUUUCAUGCUAUCUUAAUUUACUUUGAAACUUUGUCCUUCCAAAGAUAGCUUUAAAAUACAUCCAUUGCAAACCUUUUUUCUUUGCACCGUGGCCUCCAUGACAUCCAGUGUGUUGAUGCUAAAUUUUAAAUAUGCACUUAGAAUGUAUGUGGCCAACAAUAAUUUCCAUGAAAUUAAGUGCAUGAUUCAGAUUUAAAAAAAUUAUGUGCUUCCGAAUACAAGGGAAGGUGUUAUUCACAAUUAUUUGGACAAAUAGAUUCUCGGCAAACCUGAUGGUUGUACGAAAUCAUUUGCAGGCUUACGAUUCUGAAAGACAUGAUACAGUUAUCUGGACAAAGAGAUCAUUGAUAUUUUGAUGAACCUGAUUGCUCCCCUACUGUUGAUAAUGAUUCUGGCGAGAUUAGGAGCGUCGGUUACAAUGGCAAUCUUACGUUUGACGACAGUUCGUACGUGACUGAAAAAAUGAUGCCAAGCAUAACGUAUUGAUGAAUCGGCACCACAAUAAUCUGAGUAAACAAACAUCGAUCUGCUCUGACCUAAAAAUUUGAGUGUUGAAGAUAAUAAAACUCCACAAAGGCACAAACCAAUAUGAUUUCCAGGUGCAUGAGCCAAAAAGUUGCAAAAUUAAAACACAGACCAGACAACACUAUUUUUUCGAACCACUGGGCAACAAUAAUUGCAUAAUACCAUUGAGAUUAACAAUGCCAUCAAUGACUGAUAAGUGGGAGAAAGAAUAUUGAUUUUACCUCAAAAACAAAAAUCUUUGAAAAUCCCUAAAAAAGGCUGAAAUUAAUGUUUCUGCAAUCUAGUUAAUUAGUCCAAGUCAACAUGUCAAUCAUACAUGGAAGAGAAGAUCACAUUGUUACCUGAGAUUAGUGAAACUUCUUCGAUUGUGUAAAGCCGCGGACCUGCAAAAUCUACAUGAUGCGGACAGACUCAAAUUGAUGUCAAAUUUAUAGGAAGUAAGCCAGAUUUCCUAUUCAAAUAGGAGUAGAUCAUCAAAUUUAUAGGAAUUAAGCCAGACUUCCUACUUCCUAUUCAAAAUUGUAGGAAUUAAGCCGGACUUCCUAUUCAAAUAGGUGUGAAUUGCUUGGUACACCCUCCGUAAACUAAUAUAAAAGCGUUUAGAUCACUAUUUUAAUGAUCUAAACACUCUUAUAUUAGUUUACAGAGGGAGUACACUGUAAUCAACACUAUCUGAAACAAAGCAAGCAACGAUGAGAAUAAAGCAAGGAGAGCUUGGCACUACAGCAAUCGCUAGUUCCUCCAUGUGUUCCGGGUCUGUUGUAGCUAGUUCCAGAGUCGAUCAGGGUACAUCGGUACGCAUACGGCUGCUGAAAUUAAUCAAGGACCGUGCCUCGUGCUAGCUUUAUCUAUAAGCUAGCUUGCAGAAUACCCCUCGGAAAGAAAAUCAGAUUUAUCUAUGAAGCUAGCUUGAGGAAUACCCCUCGGAAAGUAAAUCUAGUCGUACGUGCAUGCAUCGGCUACGUACGCACCCAACCAUCAGAAUCAAUCAAGGUGCUUCUUCUGUCAAGUGCUAGCCUCCUGUUAGUUAGUGUCGAUGAGAGACGUCUCGGUUCACUGGAAUCGAGCUGCGCCGGGUCAUGCGGCUGGACCAAAAUCUAUGGACCUAUUUUGCGAUGCCGUCAUCAAUAGCCAGAGGACCUGAGUGCCGUGCUGUGGACAACGCCAGGGUUACCUUCAUGCCAAUAGGUUGAGGGCUUGAGGCCACGUCGUCCUAAUCCUCCAUGUCUCCGCGUCAGGAGGCUGAGACCUUGCCGCCGUGCCCAGAGUUAUCUUCAUGCCAAUAGGUUGAGGGCUUGAGGCCACGCCGUCCUAAUCCCCCGUGUCUCAGUGUCAGGAGGCUGAGACCUUGCCGCCGUGCCUCGCGUUGGGGGCGCCGCUCCUGCCGCUCCAUGAUGAUGCGACUCGAGGGUCGCGUCAAGCCACGCUACCACGUUGCGCU
rnacentral:rRNA from 1 species